GACAGAGGCCUCAAGCGUUAGGCGGAAUCACUGGGCUUAAAGCGUGUGUAGGCGGAUCGUUAAGUGUCUUGUGAAAUCCCACGGCUCACCCGUGGAACGGCUGGGCAUACUGGCGAUCUUGGGCCAACUAGGGGCAACUGGAACAAGCGGUGGAGCGGUGAAAUGCGUAGAUAUCGCUUGGAACGCCAAAGGUGAAAACAGGUUGCUGGGGUGUGCCGACGCUGAGACACGAAAGCCAGGGGAGCAAACGGG
rnacentral:rRNA from 1 species